AUGAUGGCGAUGAGAGAGAUUACUUGACAUUAAAGUAACGCCGAAGGGGUAAGCCGCCAGGUGAAACUCUCAGGCAAAAGGACCGUCGCCGGACA
rnacentral:ncRNA from 2 species